UGGUCGGGGGCUGUGUAGGGGCUCAUCGCAGCGCUGCGUUUCCGCAACACGAGAGCCCGCGAUGCUAAGUGAAGCGCGUACUCACCUGAGGCAGUUCGUCAGUUUUCUCGGGAGGCCCGCUGAAGCACCUGUGGCUCACUUAACAGGCACAACAGGCGGGGCCUGCACACAGCGGGCUGGAGCGGGGGACCCAGGAAGAUCACUGGUGACUUUGCCCCCAAGAGCCUGGCAGAAAUGGAAGCAGAUGGCAAGGGGCUCUGAUUCCUGGAACACGAGGCGCCAUCCCCCCGCCUGAGGUUCAAUCCCUGGGUUGGGAAGAUGCCCUGGAGAAGAGAAUGGCAAUUCACUCCAGUGUUCUUGUCCGGAGAAUUCCACUGAUAGAGGAGCCUGGCAGACUACAGUCAGUGGGGUCACAAGAGUGGGACACAACUGAGUGAGUGAGCAGACAGACGGUGCUUUCUACACCUGGAUGUCUGUGUCCUUCUUUAGGUUUGGGACGUCUUCAGCCAUAAUUUCUUUAAAAACAUUUCUAUCCCUUUUUUUUUCCCCUCCUUCUGGAAUCCGUAAUACACAUAUAUUGGCACAUAGGUCUCUCAUUAAUUUUUUUAAGAUUUGGCUUUCUGUCUGCUGUUAUUAUUGGGCAAUUUCCGUUAUUCUAUCUUCCAGAUCACUUAUUCCUUUUUCUGCAUUAUUCAAUCCACUAUUCAUAGCCUUUAGCUCUGUUUGCAUUUCCGUAAAUUUCUAGUUUUUCUUGACUCCUCCUUGUAGUUUCUAGUUCUUUUUUUUUUUUUUUACAAUAAUUUGCAUUUCUAUUGAUUACCUUUCUUAAUCCCUUCAGUACUUUCAUUACCUUUUUUUCGAAUUGUGCAAUAGACUGAAGAGAUGUUUUAUUGUUUUUUCAGGCGAGUUUUCUUGAUCUCUUAACUAGGAGUGUUUCCUCUACUUCUCUAUUUUACUUACAUUUCUCUCACUCCAUAAGUUUAGGAGAAGCAGUUACCCACCAUGGUCUUGGAAGGGUGUUUAUAUGCAGGAGAGCGCCUGUGUAGCAUGUGUGGGUUUAGUAUUUUUGGCACCAGGACUGGUUUUAGUGCAAAUGCCUGCCGCCUCUGGUUAGCAGGGCCUUCUCUUUGCUCUGUGGUUGUUGUAGCCCUGUCGGUGCCAGGAUCUGCUUAUACCCUCCAGUUGUUGGAACAGAAGCCCCCAGACUGGCGUCUGAGCUGCGCUGGGAGGCAGGUGGGGCUGGAGGACCCCCCGGGCGAGGAGCCACCGAGUAUUCCCCGGCUGGAGCUGCUCACCUGUGCGUGCGCUGUGUGUGUCGCCUGUCACGUGCCGUGUGGGCUCGCACGGUGCCCUGUGGCUGGUGCUGUUCUGGGUACCACCUCAGCUCUGGGUACUUUUCCUCUGUUAAUGCUUAUCCGUGGUUAAGCUUCAGUAGUAUUAUAAUACCGCGUUUAGACCAAUAGAGGUGAAUUUUAUAUAUCAAUGUAAAUUUACAUAUCCUUUUCACUUAAUCUAAAGCAUCCUUUCCCCGCCAUGUAUUCAUGUCAUUGAAAUCAGGAUGGAUUCACACAAUUGGCAGGCUUUUUCUUAGUGGUACAUAGAUUAUGGUGAUGUCUUAAAAUCAGUGGGGUAUGGUAUCUGAUGAACUAGGGCACUUGUGGGAAAUUGAUAUGUGUGGGUAUUUUUCCUCUACAUCACUUUAUGGAACUAUAGCCUGUUACACCUUUUUCUGCUACUCUGCCACUCACCCCACUGUGGCCAUCUGCUGGUCUUUGGGGCCUCUUCCUGGGCACCUUAUGACCUCUGGACCAGCUGCACCCGAGCCUCAGAGCUUAAGGGGGGCUCACUUGGGUCUCCUAAUGAAUGCAGCGACAUUGCACAAACUUGUUGACCAUCCCAACUGAAAUCAGCUCUAUGGCCCAGAAACAUUUCCUUUUACCCAGUUUUAUGGUCAUCAGAGCUAUGAUAGUUUCAUUUGUCUCUUUCCUCA